AAAAGUAUCAUUUCUAUUAGUUUAAUGGUAAUAGUAUACUUACGUUUUGGAGUUACACCCUCUCAUACAUUAUGUUUAACAUCAGAACCGAACAAUGUCUUAAAUUUUUUUCAAAAUUAUAAUACCUACAUAUUUUUCUCAGUUUUUAGUACAAAUCUAGAGCAUCAAGAAGUAAACAGCUUUAAUGGUCUACCAAAUUGGCCAACAAUAACUCCUUAUUUCGAACAACUAAAAUCAAGCGAUUUAAAUUUAAACAAAAAUAAUUUGAUCUUUAAAUGCAUUUUGUAUGGUCCAAAAGAAAAACGAAUUUCUACUUCAAAAUCAUCAAGUUCAAAUCUUAGAACACUUAUCAAAAUUAAGCAUCCAAACGAUUUGUCAGAAUUUAACAAUUGUGUGAAAAAGAUACCAACAGAUUCUACAUCAAUAUCUCAUUAACAAAUGAAAGUUCAACCAACGGAAAAGUUAAAUCGAGCUGAGUUUGAUGAGGCUAGUUUAAAACUUAUGAUUGGUACUGUGUCAUCUUUUACAUUCAUUAAACAUCCAGCAUUUGUACAAUAAUAAUGCGAUUAGAAUAUUUUAAAAAACAUGCUAGAUAACAACGAUAAUAUUACAGAAGCUCUUACAUGAUCUCGAAGUUUGAUAAUAGUCAAUUCACUCUGAUAUUCAAACUAACAAAAAAAAAUUGGAACUGCUGAAGGUUGAUAUGUCCGGUAUAGGUUGAACAUACAUGUUGGUAUUGUAUGCGUUAGAUGAAGAUAAUACACAAAGAUUCAUGAGAUGUAUGGAGUCAAAGAUGUACAAGUGGCUGCUUGUAUGGUUCCAAAAUUCAAACUUAAUUGGACUGUAGAAGAUAAUCUGAACGACAUCAAACAUAUCAGUAACUACUCCCAACACAACAUCUACAGAAUGUCAUAAUAGUGCCUUUGAAGAUGAUUUUUUUAAUUUUGAAGAAAAUAAUGUUUUGGAAUCAAAUUAUCAUAUACUUUUUGUUGACAAUUAUUUGUCUAACACAAAUAUUAAAUUUCCUUCAGAAUUACCAAAUUUUUAAAUGAUUGAGUAAUAUUUAUUUUAUCAAUUAUAAAUGUUUCAAUACAGUACCUAAGAACAUUCACACUAAAAUUUAAAUUUAAAUGAACCCAGAGUGAAAUAUAGAGUUCUAAAAUGAUAUGUAAUCUUUAUGCAUAGGUAUAUUAGUAUCCAAGUGAUUAGCACGUCAUAUUAGUCAUUUUAAUACCUUUUCA